GGGCGAAAGCCUGACGGAGCAAUACCGCGUGAGGGAGGAAGGCUCUUGGGUCGUAAACCUCUUUUCUCAGGGAAGAAAAAAAUGACGGUACCUGAGGAAUAAGCAUCGGCUAACUCCGUGCCAGCAGCCGCGGUAAUACGGAGGAUGCAAGCGUUAUCCGGAAUGAUUGGGCGUAAAGGGUCCGCAGGUGGAACUGAAAGUCUGCUGUUAAAGAAUCUGGCUCAACCAGAUAAAAGCAGUGGAAACUACAGAACUAGAGUACGUUCGGGGCAGAAGGAAUUCCUAGUGUAGCGGUGAAAUGCGUAGAUAUUAGGAAGAACACCGGUGGCGAAAGCGUUCUGCUAGGCCGUAACUGACACUGAGGGACGAAAGCUAGGGGAGCAAAUGGGAUUAGAUACCCCAGUAGUC
rnacentral:rRNA from 1 species